UUAGCUUUUGGGGUGAGUUAGACCUGGCCCAAAUUUAACAUAUACAAUGCGGAAUUACCGUAUUUUGCCGAUGUGAGACGUUUUCCCACAAGCUAGCAGGUGAACGUCACUCUUCACUGCUAAAUUUGCGACGUUCUCGUCGCAGCUGAAUCAGAUACAAUUGCUAAACCAGGACCGGACCCUUGGGUAUUGUGGUUCGCUAGUACCUCGAGUGGCUCCACCUCGUCUCACACGGGUAGUCCUUUCCUCGCAGACCCACUAGCUCUGCCCAAUUUGUCUGAUCCAAAAUAGCUCUGAUACCAAGUUAAAUUUGGACCAGUCUUAACUCACCCCAAAAGCUAGCUCAAGGGGGAGGGGUCCAUGUAGCCCAUAUAAGGGGCACAUUACCCCUUUCCACAACCGAUGUGGGAUUCAACACCCCUCCUCACGCCCAGAAUUUUACUAGUGCAUGGCAUAUUUAUAGGAGGCCCAACAUCGGAUGAGGAGGCUCGGAUACCAUGUUAAGUUUGGGCUAGGCCUAACUUACCCCAAAAGCUAGUUCAAAGGGGAGGAGUGUCUAUGGCUCAUAUAAGGGGCACAUUUUCCCUUUCCAUAAUCGAUGUGGGAUUCAACAACAAGAAAGAAAAGUUCCUUCUUUAGAGAGAAAAAAGGAACAAGGGCUUGGCGUAAACCCAAAUGAACAGAAAGAAUAUAAUAGGUUUAACGGCAAUGGAACCAAAUGAUAUUGUUGUAAUUAGAUUAAUGACGUGGCCAGAAUGGAACUGAGCUGCGAUUGACUAGAACCUACAAGAGGAAAUGUGAGGCGGCGGUGGGUGCCAUGGUUUUAAAUAACGUAACGGUCGUUAUUUAUAGGUUUUCGAGCCUACUGUGGCCGUUAAGGCCUGUAAAUAACGGCAGGAAAAUUUUGUUGCCGUAACAGCCGUUAUGGCCGUUACGCAAAGGUAAUGGCCGUUAUCGGCCGUGAUGUAACGGCCAUAACGGUCGCUACUUUCUUUACCAGUAGUCGAGCACCAGCCUUUGUAUGCAUUAUUGAAGGGGAAAAAAACUGAUUUCUCUACUUCUUCUCUUUGGCCUUUUGUCUUUCUUUACUCUUUACUACUUUGUGUCUUCGCCACAACCAGCAAGCCAAGUAGUCCUCCAU
rnacentral:lncRNA from 1 species